rnacentral:rRNA from 1 species
CACGUAGGGCGCGAGCGUUGUCCGGAAUUAUUGGGCGUAAAGAGCUCGUAGGCGGCCUGUUACGUCCGCUGUGAAAGCCCGGGGCUUAACCCCGGGUCUGCAGUGGAUACGGGCAGGCUAGAGGUAGGUAGGGGAGAAUGGAAUUCCCGGUGUAGCGGUGAAAUGCGCAGAUAUCGGGAGGAACACCGGUGGCGAAGGCGGUUCUCUGGGCCUUACCUGACGCUGAGGAGCGAAAGCGUGGGGAGCGAACAGG